CCAGACUCCUACGGGAGGCAGCAGUGGGGAAUAUUGCACAAUGGGGGAAACCCUGAUGCAGCAACGCCGCGUGAGUGAGGAAGUAUUUCGGUAUGUAAAGCUCUAUCAGCAGGGAAGAAAGAAAUGACGGUACCUGACUAAGAAGCCCCGGCUAACUACGUGCCAGCAGCCGCGGUAAUACGUAGGGGGCAAGCGUUAUCCGGAUUUACUGGGUGUAAAGGGAGCGUAGACGGCGAUGCAAGUCUGAAGUGAAAGGCGGGGGCCCAACCCCCGGACUGCUUUGGAAACUGUAUAGCUGGAGUGCAGGAGAGGGAAGUGGAAUUCCUAGUGUAGCGGUGAAAUGCGUAGAUAUUAGGAGGAACACCAGUGGCGAAGGCGGCUUACUGGACUGUAACUGACGUUGAGGCUCGAAAGCGUGGGGAGCAAACAGGAUUAGAUACCCGUGUACUG
rnacentral:rRNA from 1 species